UACGGAGGGUGCAAGCGUUAUCCGGAUUCACUGGGCUUAAAGGGCGCGUAGGCGGGUUGGCAAGUCCGUGGUGAAAUCUCCAAGCUUAACUUGGAAACUGCCGUGGAUACUAUCAAUCUUGAAUAUCGUGGAGGUAAGCGGAAUAUGUCAUGUAGCGGUGAAAUGCUUAGAUAUGACAUAGAACACCAAUUGCGUAGGCAGCUUACUACACGAUCAUUGACGCUGAGGCACGAAAGCGUGGGGAGCAAACAGG
rnacentral:rRNA from 1 species